UACAGAGGGUGCGAGCGUUAAUCGGAAUUACUGGGCGUAAAGCGUGCGUAGACGGUAGCGUAAGUCAGAUGUGAAAGCCCCGGGCUCAACCUGGGAAUUGCAUUUGAGACUGCUCUGCUCGGGUGCGGAAGAGGGAAGCGGAAUUUCCGGUGUAGCGGUGAAAUGCGUAGAUAUCGGAAGGAACACCAGUGGCGAAAGCGGCUUCCUGGUCCGACACCGACGUU
rnacentral:rRNA from 1 species